rnacentral:lncRNA from 1 species
AUAAGCCCCUUGGGGGGCCAGGAGGCCUGGCUGUGAUCCUGGGGAGCUUGGUGUCUCUUGCAGCUGCUGUGGCCCUCUUCCUAUUCUACCGACUCCAGCCCAAGAGUCAGCCAGACAUGGACAGCGACCUAUCAGACCCACCCACUUCCCACAAGGCUUCCCCACUUCCCGACCGGAACGAAGAAAUGAAGAACCACGUGUCAACAAAAGAUAUCCAGGUGAAAGAAGAGACUCUUUGCCUUAAUUGC